AGAUUUUAGUAGAAGAAGUUUGAGUGCUACAUUUUCUGAUGACUUAGCCUCCAUGUGUUCAUGGACUGGCCAAAAAAAUAAUUAUAAAAUUGGAGAUACGCACACAAUUCUGAGCAUUAAAAGAGCUUUUAGAGCAAUAUUACCUCGGAAUACAGAAAAAGAUUUUGAACACUUUGUAAUGGAGUGGUUCAGAUUCGCAAACGUCCGUAAGGAAAGAAAAAAACAUUAGGAAGUGAUAAAUACAUUAACUUACUUGCGUGACUCCGCGCGAGUGAUUAUUAUAGUAACAAAUUUUUUUAUUUGAAAGAUGAGCUUUAUCCCAAAACCUUCCGCUAGGAUCAGUGAUCUUCACCAAAGAUAUUAUUGUAAUAAACUGA